UGGUUGUUGUUGUCGAUGAUGAUGAUGAU
rnacentral:piRNA from 1 species